rnacentral:misc_RNA from 1 species
CCCGAUCUCUUCACUACGAGCCUAACCGUAUAUCAUCGGUUAUGGGCGAAUAUAGAGUUCCUGUGCUGCAUACCCACGAUAGUGGAAUUCGAACAUGUUGCUGUCCCACUUUCGCCUUACGCUCCGUAUAGGGCAUGUGGUGAACAAUGCAGCUCCUCCUGUGUUCCUAACAUGCCGAUUUGGCUGUUGAGGCCCAUGGGAUGUCGCUCGUGCUCUAGGAUGCGGAAUUUUAUGCGUGGCGUAGGGAUCUAAUCCCUCGUUUAGCCCGAUGUCCCUAACGUAUGAAUGACAGCAACGCUCGUAUCGAGGCCUUAGCAUAUCGGAACGUCCUUUCGCUACGGUCUUGUACGGGCGUUGAUGUCCCGAAGGAAUGC